rnacentral:lncRNA from 1 species
AACAAAGCAACUGUAAAGGCAACACUAGACACAGAAGAGUUGGAUGGAUGAGUCAUUUCCCCCAGACUGACGGCAUCAUGAAGGCCUGAAGGUGUCACCAACUCCUCUCCUGCAACAUCAGCUGAACAGAUACAGUCCUCGCUUAGACCACCCUCAGAGAGCACAGUUUGUAAACCUUAUGAAAAUGGAAGUUGUAGAAAGCACUAAAAGUUGCUAAAAUACUUUCAUAUGAAAAAGACUCAAAUCCACCCACUGGAUUAGACAAAAACCUGAGCUGAAUGAGCCCCAGCUAUCUACCUAGAAUUUUGUCUUCAUUCCUCAUUUGUCUUCCUUGCUCCCGGUGGAGAGAAGGGGAUAUACAAACAGAUGGCUGCAGUUAGAAAAAGGCAAUAGUUGCCUCAGAAACCCAGCUCCUGGUAUAACUGACUGACCAGCUGACUUUAAAGUCCAAGUUCUUUCUAUCAUCCCAACAUGCUCCUGCCAGACAGAAAAGGCUCACAGGCCAGGUCAGGGCUCCAGCUGUCAUAGAAGCAAGAGAACUCACCACCAGAAGGCAAUCACAAA